rnacentral:rRNA from 1 species
AUUGAACGCUGGCGGCAGGCCUAACACAUGCAAGUCGAACGGUAACAGGAAGAAGCUUGCUUCUUUGCUGUCGAGUGGCGGACGGGUGAGUAAUGUCUGGGAAACUGCCUGAUGGAGGGGGAUAACUACUGGAAACGGUAGCUAAUACCGCAUAACGUCGCAAGACCAAAGAGGGGGACCUUCGGGCCUCUUGCCAUCGGAUGUGCCCAGAUGGGAUUAGCUAGUAGGUGGGGUAACGGCUCACCUAGGCGACGAUCCCUAGCUGGUCUGAGAGGAUGACCAGCCACACUGGAACUGAGACACGGUCCAGACUCCUACGGGAGGCAGCAGUGGGGAAUAUUGCACAAUGGGCGCAAGCCUGAUGCAGCCAUGCCGCGUGUAUGAAGAAGGCCUUCGGGUUGUAAAGUACUUUCAGCGGGGAGGAAGGGAGUAAAGUUAAUACCUUUGCUCAUUGACGUUACCCGCAGAAGAAGCACCGGCUAACUCCGUG